ACCACGCACGCAGGCACAUACCCACACACCCCCCACACGCACUCUGGCUCGCUCCUUUCCUCCCUCAUGCACACACACUCACUUUCAUACACACACACAUACACACACACACAUGUAGUGUGUCGUUGUCGGUGCAGCGAGUUACGUGUGAAAAGUUAUCUGCGGCAUGCGUGACACACGGGGAGAUUCCUGCCAACGUCAGGGCCCUUUUUUGCCAUGCAGCAACAAGUGGCAGAAUCAAUGGUGUACAGUUAUUCAGCAAUGUAAUUCAUUUCACUGGCUUUGGCUCCCAGCCAGAUCCGCCAUCUGUCUCUUGCUCUCCCUCUCUCUCUCUCGCCUGAAUUUGUCCUACAUUUCGUAAUGUUACGUGCUUGCCAUCCUUAUUCUAUGUCAGAGGUACAGCACGAGCCUCACCCCCGUUCCGACGUGGAGUUCUGUGAGUUCGGUGGCACUUUGGAUAUUCCACUCCAGUGCCAUAGGAAGAAAAGGGUAAGGAAAGAACAGAGGGAUAGCUGCAAAGAGAAUGGUGUUCUUCUAUCUGAAAGCCAGUGCCUCCGCUUUUUAUUUAAAGCAUUGAUAUGGAUCUGUCUCACAUGGGAACUUUUCCUGCUUCGUUAGAGUAUCUUCGUUUUCUUUAUUGGAUGCUGGCACUGUACGCCACUGCACAGCUCCGUGGAAUGCCUGCUGUUGGAUACUUGCAGAUCCCUGCCACCAAGCAACCUCCUGCAUUGGAAAUCGGGUGACUACUCCAGGAUCUUAUGCGUGCUUGCUGUUUGAAGCUGCAGAAAAGUGAAUAAUCAAUUAAGUAUUGAUUUCUUGUAAGAUUUGGUAAAUUUCAAAGGCAAGACAAAGAGGAUGGCUUAAGGAAAGCACUGCAGGGACUUGGCGUAAAUUAGACAACUAACAGCAGUGCAGAAUAAAAUAACACCUCAACUGAAUAUUUCCUUGGAAGAAUUAGCACCAGCUAUUGGAAGACGAUGGUGGAUUUAAUCAAGACGGCAGGCACGCUUGAGUUUUAACCGUGAACCUGAAAGAGGAGCUAAUUAUAACCACCUUUUUAUAUGGAGCUAAUUUGACUGAAUGGAUGCAAAUGUGCUUUAUUUAUGGAUGAAGAAGCAAGCCUUACAGCAUUGACUUUGGGAUCAUCGCAUAUGCUAAGCUUUACAGCUUCUCUAAAAGUCAAGCCUACAGUACAUUUUUAUUUACUGAGAAGGUAUUUAUAUGUAAGCAUAAGCUAGCCGUACAAAAGAUUCAUCAGAACAAUGAACUGUGUGGCACCGAGGAUCUAAUUAUAAUUUUGCAGCAUUUCAUGUUUUCUCUAAUUUGAUACUUUUCAACCCUUGCUUGUGAUGGGCUAUAAAUGGGACAAUAAAUGUAUGAUUUAAACUAUUGUGAUUUUCACUGUAUAGUUUAUUAAUCGUACUGUAGUUUUCUUAACGUGUUUUUGAAUUAUUCAGCAGUAAUUUAUAAUGAAAGAAGCAGAAAUGGUGGGGUGGUUUUAAAUUCAUUUAUAAUCUUCUCACAGAUCUAAAUGUACAGGUUCUACCAGCCGAUGAGCUCUAUAAUUAUGAAAGAAUGUUAAAAUUUUCAGAUAAAUGGGGCACUGACUUUACAAUGGGCACAAUAUUGUAUAAUCAGUAAAAGGAGGAUUGUUAUGUUUUGACUCUGUGGAGAAUGGUCUUGGUUAGUUAACUCCUUCUAUGCUGAUAAUGGUAAGCAAAUGUACCUUAUAUAAGAAAAUAGGGGGAGAAUGUAAUGCACUGGUUUGAUGUUUUGCUAGUCUGAAACCUUAGCAUAUUUUUUUUUCCAUUUAUUUCCAUUUCUGUUACUUUUCUUUUCCCUAUUUGCUUCUCUGGGUUUUGUCGAGGCUUUUUUUUCCUCCUGUCUUGCAAUCUACAUUCCCUGAGCAACCACAGGAACCAAGUUACAUUAAGCUUCAACACAAAGACGAUGUAAGAAUAAUGAAUCCUCAUUUGCAUCGACAUUUGUAUUCAGAUUUGCCAGGCUAUAAACUUGGCAGAUCAAGCGGAAUAUUAAGUAGAGGCUUCCAUGAGCUGGACAUCAAACCUUUUUCUUUGCUGAUACUUGAUGAAGAAAAGGUAGUCCUACAUGACCCGCUUCCUUCCUUCUCUUCCUGGAUGAACCUCUUUCAGGAUUAAUAGCUGCAAAAGUGGAGCAUUUACCUGAUCAUUCUCCUGUUUAACUUCGUGUUAAUGAAAGUAAUUUUUACAUGAACUUUUGAGACUUUUUAAGUUAUCUGUAGCAUGUGCUAUAUUAGUUCAGAAGCAGUGAAAAAAUGUUCAGUCAACAAGUGCUAAAAAUGCUCCAAGACUCCCUUUUGCUAUCCAUACAUUUUCAAGUCUUUGUCUCAGGACUUCAACAAAGUCCUCUGGAGAGAACUUAAAAGUGUCACUGAAUUAGGAAAUGCAGGAAAUGAUCAGGCAUGCAGGAAAUACUUCCAGUUUCUUCUUUUUGUGUGCAUCUGCUUCCUACCACGUCCAUAACCACAGACAUAGCAAGAAUGUGUACAGUACAGUCCACAAUGUGUGUUUUCACAAUUUAUAGUUGGCUUCUAUGUUCAAGAGGUACUAUUAUAGAGAAAAAUCCUGGAAUUUGUUCUAGUCCUUUCUAAACAUGUUGAAGGACUGACUUUAAAAACUCAAUCUCUUGAUGGUCAUUUAGCUAACCUAUUGAAAAGCAAGUGCAAUGCAAUGGCUGAAACUGCUGUAAAUAAUAUUAUACUGUAAAAGUAUUGGGUACAAUUUCAGCAGAGAAAGCUGUAUCAGCUUUGUUUUCUAUAAAAAUACACAGAACCCUAAUACUGUUUGGAUUUACUUUAGUUUUGUUUUUACACUAUAAUGGGAUAAUUGAUCAUGCAGGAAAUGGUCUGUUGUGAUGCAGUGUUCAGUAGGGGAGGAAGAUGAUCAUCUCUUCAUAUAGAACAGCAACCUGUGGCAAGCAAAGGCAACCAUGCAUCAUUACUUGUUUGCUAUUUUUGAGAACUUAUAUAACUAUAUUUUUUUAUUAUUAUGGGCAAAAACAUGGAAUAUGGUGUUUCCUUCCUUUGAAAGAGUAUUCUGAGCUAGAUUCUGAAAAUGGUGCUUAACACAGAGGGGAAAGGUAGAACUUACAAGGUAUGUUUCCAUACUUUGCUUCCUUAUGUACAUCAUCCUGAUGAAAUUAUAUUAAACUUUAUUGUUUGGGUUAAUAUAUGUACCUCUCACUAACUGUUUUGAAAAUUUACACUAAAAAAGUUUUAAAAGUGUCCUUUUCUGAGAAAGGAAAAACAAAACAAUAUCUCAAUAGCUGUCAUAAAAAAAAAAAAAAAAUUGAAGUGAGAUUUAAAUUCCAAAUUUAUAAGGAAUAACAGAUUAAUAGACUGCAAUGUUUUUGUUAAACAUUUGCAAUAGUCAUUCACUAAGUGAAUCCUUUGAAAAUUAAUUCCUUUGAGGGUUUCUUUAUAUCCAUAAAAUGUUCCCCAAUUUAUUGCUCCCUGAUUAUGGAACCAAAAGAAAUUAAAGAUGAAUGGAAAGUACUUUAAGCUCCAAAAAAUUUAUCAUAUUCACUGACAAAAAGAUAAAAACACCUGGAGAAAAAAAAGGAAGGUGUGAAGCUAAUAUUUCCUGGAAGGAACUCCAAUCUGUUGUCUGGCCUUUUAUGUGUACAGUGUUGUUGAGUAAACAACAACAUAUACUGGAGUGGUAUAUAUAACAAACUUUAGUGUGUAAUGUGUAUUCACCACCAGUGGACAGAGGGAUGACAGGCAGGCAAUCCAGGAAUAGCAUGUGGAUGCUUUAGAGGGAAAACUCAAGGCCUGUUACAAUACUUCAGUCUAGCUCAUUGUGUUGCUAAAGAAUUUGAGAUUCUAAGAAUACAGAGCUCGCUACAUAUAGUAAGGGUCAGAUCUGCUGGCCCAUAGCAUUUAAAGGGAAGCUAUAAUUUUUUACCAUUAGUCUUCUGAUCAAAGAUCCUUUUGUGUAACCUACUGUUAUGAUGAGUAUCACUAAAGUGCUGUAUUUCUUACUUGGUUGUCUGUUUCUCUCAUUGGUGUGGACUUGAUCUUGGGACUAAACUGUAAGUUUUCUGCAUCUGCAGGAAUGUAGUUUCUUAAAUGGCAUUUUUCAGACUACUUUGUGCAUGAAACAGCAUUUCUAACUUGAAGAAUUUAUCUGUUUCUCUUAUAUAGUCAGUAAACCAUUUCUACUUCAA